rnacentral:rRNA from 1 species
UACGAAGGGGGCUAGCGUUGCUCGGAAUCACUGGGCGUAAAGCGCACGUAGGCGGAUUGCUAAGUCAGGGGUGAAAUCCUGGAGCUCAACUCCAGAACUGCCUUUGAUACUGGCGACCUUGAGUCCGGGAGAGGUGAGUGGAACUGCGAGUGUAGAGGUGAAAUUCGUAGAUAUUCGCAAGAACACCAGUGGCGAAGGCGGCUCACUGGCCCGUAACUGACGCUGAGGUGCGAAAGCGUGGGGAGCAACAGG